rnacentral:misc_RNA from 1 species
AAGAGACGUUGCCCUUCGGGGUAUACCUCCCACCCUUUGUUUAUUAUACCUUGUGCUUUGGCGGGCCCGUCCUCGACCACCGCUUCUGCGGUCAGUGCCCGCCAGAGGACCUAAAACUCUGUUUGUUAAUAUUGUCUGAGUACUAUAUAAUAGUGUA